rnacentral:lncRNA from 1 species
GAGUUUUCACUUCGCCCUUGGGUUAGGAGACACCUCAUUUUAUGGAUGCGCAGAGCACAGUUACAUGCUGCCGUGCAUAACAUGUGUGUGUACACAGGUCCCCUGUGAUAAGAGGGGCCCUGGGGUGCAGGCUGGCGGGUUCCAGGAAGCCAGUCGCCGAGCUCACAGAACCGCCUGGCAGGUGUCCUGGCCCGGAAAGCCACGGCAGCGCCCAAGGAGUUUCUUCCGAUGGAGGUGCGGAGCCGUCUGCCCUAGUGGACGACAACGGCAGCGAGGAGGACUUCAGCUACGAGGACCUGUGUCGGGCCAACCCCCGAUACCUGCAGCCGGGUGGGGAGCAGCUGGCCAUCAACGAGCUGAUCGGCGAUGGCAGCGUGGUCUGCGCGGAGGCCCUGUGGGACCACGUGACCAUGGACGAACAGGAGCUGGGCUUCAAGGCGGGGGACGUCAUCCAGGUCCUGGAGGCUUCGCACAAGGACUGGUGGUGGGGCCGCAGCGCAGACAGGGAGGCAUGGUUCCCGGCCAGCUUCGUUCGGCUGCGCGUCAACCAGGAGGAGCUGUCAGAGGGCUCCAGCGGCAGCCCUGGCGAAGAGCAGGAGGAGGACACGGGUAGGGCCCGCCACAAGCACCCCGAGAGCAAGCAGCAGAUGCGGGCCAACGUGGUCCAGGAGAUCAUGGACACUGAGCGCGUGUACAUCAAGCACCUCCGGGACAUCUGCGAGGGCUACAUUAGACAGUGUCGUAAGCAUACGGCAAUGUUCUCGGUUGCACAACUGGCCACCAUUUUCGGAAACAUUGAAGACAUUUACAGAUUCCAAAGAAAGUUCUUGAAAGACCUUGAGAAGCAGUACAAUAAAGAGGAACCUCACCUGAGUGAAAUAGGGUCCUGCUUCCUUCAGCACCAAGAGGGCUUCGCCAUCUACUCGGAGUAUUGCAACAACCACCCGGGCGCCUGCGCGGAGCUGGCAGGCCUGAUGCGGCAGCGCCGCUACCGGCACUUCUUCGAGGCCUGCCGGUUGCUCCAGCAGAUGAUCGACAUCGCGCUGGACGGCUUCCUGCUGACGCCCGUGCAGAAGAUCUGCAAGUACCCGCUGCAGCUGGCCGAGCUGCUCAAGUACACCGCGCCGGAGCACAGUGAUUACGAAAAUAUAAAGGCAGCAUACGAGGCCAUGAAGAAUGUUGCCUGCCUGAUCAAUGAGCGGAAACGCAAGCUGGAGAGCAUAGACAAGAUCGCGCGGUGGCAGGUGUCCAUCGUGGGCUGGGAGGGCCAGGACCUCCUGGAGCGCAGCUCGGAGCUGAUCCACUCCGGGGAGCUGACCAGCGUCACGCGGCAGGGCAGGAGCCAGCAGCGCACCUUCUUCCUGUUCGACCACCAGCUGGUGUUCUGCAAGAAGGACCUGCUGCGCAGGGACGUGCUCUACUACCGCGGCCGCACCGACACAGACACCGUCGAGCUGGUGGACCUGGAAGACGGCCGCGACGGUGCCCGCGGGCCGGGCCUCAGGAACGCCUUCAGGCUGGCCAGCCGCACGGGCGACGAGGUGCACCUGUUCUGCGCCAGGAAGCCCGAGGACAAGGCACGGUGGCUGCAGGCCUUCAGGGACGAGCGCCGGCGGGUGCAGGAGGACCGGGCGCUGGGAAUGGAAAUUUCAGAAAAUCAGAAGAAACUCGCCAUGUUAAAUGCUCAAAAGGCAGCACACGGAAAGUCAAAAGGCUACGGCGGCUGCCCCACGGCCCCCCCGCUCCAGAGCCUGCGGCCGGUUCACCAGCGCCACGUCACCGUGCCCAGCAGCCUGCCGCAGCAGCAGGUGUUCGCCCUGGCCGAGCCCAAGAGGAAGCCGUCGCUCUUCUGGCACACCUUCAACAAGCUCGCCCCCUUCAGGAAGUGA